CAGCACCUCAAGUGGUCAGGAUGAUUAUUGGGCCUAAAGCAUCCGUAGCCGGCUCUGUAAGUUUUCGGUUAAAUCUGUACGCUCAACGUACAGGCUGCCGGGAAUACUGCAGAGCUAGGGAGUGGGAGAGGUAGACGGUACUCGGUAGGAAGGGGUAAAAUCCUUUGAUCUAUUGAUGACCACCUGUGGCGAAGGCGGUCUACCAGAACACGUCCGACGGUGAGGGAUGAAAGCUAGGGGAGCAAACCGGAUUAGAGACCCGUGUAGUCC
rnacentral:rRNA from 1 species